rnacentral:lncRNA from 1 species
UAUCAAGAUUGAAUAUGAACAAUCCUCUCACAUUGGGUGCAUGACCAUAAAAGAUGUUACUCAUAGAAAUAGAACAACCAUUAUUCUCUAACUUAAAAGAGUAACCGUCUCGCAAUAAACAAGAUCCAGAUAUAAUGUUCAUGCUCAACGCAGGCACUAAAUAACAAUUAUUCAAGUUCAUAACUAAUCCUGAUGGUAACUGAAGUGAAACUGUGCCGACGGUGAUUGCAUCAACCUUGGAACCAUUUCCUACGCGCAUCGUCACUUCAUCUUUCGCCAGCCUUCGCCUAUUGCACAG